rnacentral:lncRNA from 1 species
CAACAUCCUUGAUUUGAGGUAGAAGAGGAAUUUGGACUUGGAGAGGGCAGAAAUAAGAUUACUUUUCUGUAUUUUUCUGCAAACGGUACAGGAUACUGCCUCAAAAGACUAAUGUUUUCGGUGCAGAAGAGGCUCGUGUGCCUUCUCUCUUGUAACAAGUCCAACAUCCAUCUUUCCUCCUAUCAACUCUGCAGUCUGUUUAGCUUUGCCACUGCCGAAGAGCACAGUUUAAAUCAUAGAUCCAACUUUACGUUGGUCGACCCCCUUGAGUCAUGUGAACUUUCCUCAAAAGAGGCUGCAAAAAGGGCCAAGGAUGGCAUCUGUGAAAAAGAACUUUCAAGUUCAAGUCUUUCCAUUGAGUUCUUCAAGCAGAGCGGUUGGACUGAUGCACAAGUCGUGAAGCUUAUGCAGAAGCAUACCAGGUUUCUACGUGCUAACUUAGAGACUGUCCUGAAGCCGAAGAUAAGAUCUUUGCAGGACAUGGGAUUUUCUGACACUGAAAUAGUUCAGCUGGUUUCAUCAUGUCCGGGUCUGCUCCAUUUUCGUGAUAUCCAACCAAGGAUCAACUUCUGGAGGUCACUUCUUGGUUCUAAUGAGAGGUUAAUUAAGGCCUGCAGGAGGAACAUGUUUCUCCUUACUUCUAGCUUGGCUCAAAAGAUUGAGCCCAAUAUAUCUCUCUUGAGGGAAUGUGGCAUCAGUGAGCAAAACAUCGCGCAGAUGGUAGUGAGACUACCAAGUUUUUUAUGUCAUACAGAAAAAUGUAUCAAGGAAGCGAUCAAACAUGUUGAGGAGUUGGGUGUGUCACGUGACUGUAAAACGUUCCCUCGUGCACUCUUAACAGUCGUGACCCUGAGCAGGUCCAGGCUUGAUGCUACCUUUGCAACCCUGAUCAGCUAUGGGUGGUCCCAACCAGAUUGCGUUGCUGCAUUCAGGAAGCAUCCAUCCAUUUGGUCUUUGUCAAAGAAGACCUUAUGUGACAAGAUGACAUUCCUGAUGAAGGAAGCUGGUUGUGAGAUGACAUAUAUCAUUUGCCGUCCGGUGCUUCUUACAUAUAGCUUGGAGAAGAGGUUGAGACCUCGAUAUGAAGUUCUGAAUUUUCUUGAUCAGAAUAAAUUGCUGGAUAAAGGACAUGACCUGCUAUCUGUCAUCCUGCUAUCUGAAGAGAAGUUCAGAAACAAAUUCCUUUUCGUGCUAUGCAAGGAGAAAUUUAUUGCUCAAUAUGAUUCCUAUGUUGCUGCUGUGCGUGGAAAGCACCACGUUGUUGUGGAAAACUAGGAUUGCAAGUGCUUCCUCGAGACAAAAGUGUAAACCUAAUGCAUGCUGACCGAAACUUAAUCAUUUUACAUUUGUGACAAUUUAAAUUCUCCAAGAGUUUAUUAGAGUAGAACUUCCAUGUUGAUUUUUGGGAUUUUUCCUCUAUUUAUCUUUUUCUACAACCAAAGAAUGCUGAUUCAUAUAUGCUGAUGUCCCAGAAAGUGGAGUUUGGGGGAAGUCAAUUACUUAGGAAAGGUAACAAAAAUAUCAAGCUUUUGUGUUAUGUUUUUACCGUAUCUAGCCAAUUCACAUACUUAUUAUUGAAUUUGAGUUAUGUUGUUGGUUGCAUGGUAUGUAAUUUCAAAUGAUAUUGUUUGUAUCGAGCGGUACCUAUCGGUCUGACAAUAUAUCGAUAUGUGGACCGUUUGCUAUCGAACGAAUCAUGCUUCAGUGCUACAGUAAUAUACUUUAGUAGUUCUAUAGUAAGAGGAAAUCGUGCAGUAAACCUUGGUGUACCAUACGAUACAUGAUACGUCUGUGUUGUAUUGUACCGAGCAAACCUUGAAACAUUGAUAUAUGAUAUGAUAUUGCAUAUCUUGGUUGAUUGUAUCUAAUUUUUUAUAGUAACAUUUUAAUUGUAUUAAGAGAUCAAUUAGAUCACAUAUAUAUCUCCUAUUAAGUAAGCUAUUUUAUUCUUGUGAAAUUAACGAAAAAAUAAGACAGAUUUUAUAAUUUAAAUGAUAAAAAGAUCAGAAGAUUUUCUAGAGAUGUUUCUAUCUAUAGAAUUCAAUGUAUAAACUAUUUAAAAAAUAUUUUGAAUAUAAAUAGUUAUUAUAUAUUUUUAUUACAAAUAAUAUUGUGAAAGAUUGCUUAUAUUUGCAACAUUGGAAUGUGUGUGAUAAUAUCAUUUUCAAUGUUGAUGAUGAAUAGUAGCAACCUUUGUAUGGAUGAUAGUUAUGGAUCAAGAUUUGAACAUAAGAGAAUAGAUCCUAGAUGAAAGUAGAUUAACCAUGCCCAUUUAAUUAGUUAAAUCUAUUGAUGAUUAGAUAAAGCCGAUGAAAUAGAAGGAUAAAAAUUUUAUUUAUAAAUAAGGAUUAAAUAUUUAUAAAUUUAACAUAAUUUUACAUCAAAUAUUUUAUUAUAUCAUUAUAUAUUUGUACUUUUUAUAGUUAUACAUCCAUGGUCUUCAAAAUUUUAAAAAAAUUAUAAAAAAUUUUAUAUUAUAAAUUUUUUUUAAAUGAAAUAAUAAAAAAUUAUGAUUUUUAUUCAAAAUUUUGAAUUGACAAUUUUUGAAAUGGAUGAUUCUGAAAUGGUGAAUAAGUCUUAAAUAUAACUUAUAUUUAAAUCAUCAAAUCUUAUAUUUGCUGGUUUAGUUUGUGAAUUGAAGGACAAUUUACUUGUAACAGUAGAAAGAGGUUUGAAUGCUUUAAGUUUGACAACAUAUGUUUUUUACAUAGAGCAUAAAUAGUUCGGAUAUUACGGCUUUUUGUUAUUAGUGUGAUUGUUAGCACUUGUUGGCUUUAUUGGCAAAUUCUCACUGAUUUAGAUUAUGGCUUUAUUGAGAAAGUUCUUUACUACAGCUGAAGCUAUUGAUGUCACCGGCCGCCCGAUAAGUGGGCCGGGGAUGCGAGUUCAACCCGGUGCGGCCCGCCUGAUUCGGGUUGUGUCGAGCCCGAGUCAAGUCAAUUUGGAUCUCUGGUUCGAUUGAACCAGAUGAGAACGGCAUUCUCAAAAUUCCCACCCGUGCCCUAACUGCAGCGGUGAAAGUGUCUCCUCCUAUAUAGCGACCGCGAAUGCGGCGUUUUACUUGGCGAAAGGCGGCUGAAGCGGCGGCAUCUUCCUCCGUCGGGCUUUUAUCGCUGCGGCGUUUUCCUCGGCGAACGGUGGAUGCUGCGGCUUCCUCUCCGUCAGCGAACGGUACAACGCCCGGUAUCUCUCUCUUACUCCUCCUCCUCCUCCUUCGCCGUCACACAAUCCCUUCUCCUCCCUCUUCCCCCUUUCGUCGCAGCUCUCCCGAUUCCCCGACACCAUCCUCCUCCUCCCUCUUUCACCCGUUCAUCGCAGCCCCCCGCCCCUCUUCCCCGAUCCAUCCCCCUCCUCCACUUCAUCACAGUCCCCGCCCCCCGUUUUCCUACUCCGAUCCCAACGGUCCCCUCUCAGUUUUCCUACUCCGGACCCGACAGCUCCCUCUCCAUUAUCUUGCUCCGGACCCGACAGCCCCCGUCUCCCUCCUCUACACCCCUCUUCGCCCUCUCUAUACAUCUUCCCGUCCCCUUUCCUUCUCCCUGAUAGUUACCCGCUACCCUCCCAACAAGUAGUCAGCAGCAUGUUUUGAGCAUUUACUUUAAAGAAAUAGCAAGUCACAGUAUGCAAGUUAAAUACUGUUGUUAAGAUAGAAAGCAGGAGAAGUGCUGCUUUUAUAAAGAGCAAAGAGAAUUGGGGAGUCUUAGAGAAAAAUAAAAAAACACGGAAAAGAUAGAACAAGAGAUAGCAGAGACAAUAAUUGGGUCACUGUCCAAAGAAAAUCAUAAUUAUUUGUCAAUAGAAUCAUGCACAAGUCGGACUAUUCCUCAUGUGAAGCAUUUUAAUUAAAAAUAUACCUAAGAUAAUACUAAUUUGACUAGGUUUCGCGAAAGAAGCUCCCUCAACAGCAACUGCUUAUUUUGAUGAAGUGUUUGGUUCAUCAAACCUCUUAGUUUUCUUAUUAUGUAUACUGCAUUGCAGUUUCCUUUUCAAGCACAUCAGAAAAUUUCAACACAAAACCCCAAAUGUUACAAAGGACUCGAUCAAUCUAAACUACAAGUUGAGUAAACAAAUAGAAUUUGACUUGAUUUCCAAACCCGAAAAUAGACCCAAAAUCUCAAAUGUAUUUGGUUAGGUAUAACCUUACACCUUUAUGUCAGCAUAGUGUGUUCUCUGCUGUAGUGCUGAAAGCAACUAUCUCAGCUACUUGAGGCUUGUUCGUACCUCAAAACACACAGGCCUGCUUAUAUUUGAAUUGUCAAAUCUUGUAUUUGCUGGUUUAGUUGGUGAUUUGAAGGGGCCUUUUCCAGUAACAACAGAAAGAGAUUUGAAUGCUCUUACUUUAACUACAGAUAUUUUCUUAUACAUAGUUCGAUGAUGCAGAAGAUCCAUAUGGCUGAUCAUGAAUAGUUUGGACAUCAUGGCUUUUGUUAUUAUUGUGGUUGUUUGCACUUGCUGGUUUUAUUGGCAAAUUCUCACUGAUCUAGGCUUUUUUUUUCUUCAUUAAUGAUAUUUAGCUGACGCCACAUAUAAUUUUUUUAACUGUAGUUGAAGUUAUUUACAUGACCAAUCUUUCUCAUAAAUUAAGUUCCUUUAUCAGCAUAGAACCAAAUAAACUAGUAGCAUUUCUUGAUUGAGGCAGUUUUCUUAUCUCUUUAUUCAUUUUUCAGAAAAUUUAUUGCCUUUCUCUGGUCUUCCAGCUAUGUUUUUUUUUUUUUUUUGUCAAGUUGCUCAUCAUCAUCAACAAUGCCCUUUUUAGCAUGUUGAACCUUACAAAUUACCCUUGUUAAAUAAUUAAACAGUGUCUUUUCUGCUUACCAGUCUUGCUAGACUUUUAACUAGAUCAUCUCUUUACAUUCUUGAUGAAAUGGAUCAAUUACUCUGGUAGUUCUCAUUUGAAAUGUUUCAGGUUUUAGUUGUAGGACAUUAGUGAAUCUGAUGUUAGAGAAAACAUUAUGCAUCUUCCACUUAUUCUGAAUUCUGUAGUACCAUUAGCAAGUCAUUGAUGUUCAACCUAUAAGUAUAAACUUGAGUAUCGUCUGUAUACGAUCGACAAUGUAAAUGCCUAUGCCACUCUUAUGCAGCAUAUUUGAUGAAGAUACAUUUGAUAUGGUUUUUAAAUUGCUACAGGAAUAUAGGAUGCUUGGUAGUGUCUAAACCCACCAACUACAAUAUAAAAAUAAGUGGAAGAUAGUGUCUGUGCUCUGGUGUUAUAUGAUGCCAGUAUUUUAGUGGUGGAGAAUUGCUCUGAUGUGAGCAUUUGAAUGAGUAACGAAUUAUAGGUACUCGUUAUCAACUCUCAAACACCAUUUAGAGACUUAUCUCUGGAAGAAUUGGCUGAUUGGAAUUGAAUGCAUGUGGAUUAACACAAGUGGUAUAGGAAUGCUGUCUGAGACAAAUGAUUAGUUGAAAGUUUUCAAUAUCCUUGAUUGGAGGCAGAAGUUGAAUUUGGACUUGGAGAGGGCAGAAAUAAGACUACUUUUCUUGUAUUUUUCUGCAAACAGUAGGUGAUACUGCCUCAAAAGACAAUGUUUUUCGUGCACAAGAGGCUCUUUUGCCUUCUCUCAUGUAACAAGUCCACCGUCCAUGUUUCUUCCUAUCAACUCUGCAGUCUGUUUAGCUUUUCCACUGCCGAAGAGCACAGUUCAAAUCAUGGAUCCAACUUUACGUUGGUCGACCCCCUUGAGUCAUGUGAACUUUCCUCAAAAGAGGCUGCAAAAAGGGCCAAGGAUCGCAUCUGUGAAAAAGAACUUUCAAGUUCAAGUCCUUCCAUUGAGUUCUUCAAGCAGAGCGGUUGGAGUGAUCCACUAGUCAUGAAGCUUUUGCAGAGGGAACCCAGGCUUCUACGUGCUAACGUAGAGACUAUCCUGAAGCCCAGGAUGAGAUCUUUGCAGGACAUGGGAUUUUCUGACACUGAAAUAGUUCAGCUGGUUUCAUCAUGUCCGUGUCUGCUCUAUUUACGUGAUAUCCAACCGAGGAUCGACUUCUGGAGGUCACUACUUGGUUCUAAUGAGAGAUUAAUUAAAGCCAGCAGGGGGAACAUGUUUCUCCUUACUUCUAGCGUGGCUCGAAAGGUUGAGCCCAAUAUAUCUCUCUUGAGGGAAUGUGGCAUCAGUGAGCAAUGCAUCACGCAGAUGGUGGUGGCAGUACCGAGUUUUUUUUGUCGAACGAACAAAUGUAUCGACGAAUCUAUCAAACAUGUUGAGGAGUUGGGUGUGUCACGUGACUGUAAAAUGUUCCCUGAUGCACUUUUAAAUGUCAUGACCCUGAGCUGGUCUAGGUUUCAUGCUACUUUUGCUACCCUGAUGAGCUUUGGGUGGUCCCAACCAGACAGUCUUGCUGCAUUCAGGAGGUAUCCAGUCAUUUGGAAUUACUCAAAGAAGAACUUAUGUGACAAGAUGACAUUCCUGAUGAAGGAAGCUGGUUGUGAGCUGACAUAUAUCGUUGGUCAUCCCGUGCUUCUUACAUAUAGCUUGGAGAAGAGGUUGAGACCUCGAUAUGAAGUUAUGAAUUUUCUUUAUCAGAAUAAAUUGCUGGAUAAAGGACAUGACCUGCUAUCUGUCAUCCUGCUCUCUGAAGAGAAGUUCAGAAACAAAUUCCUUUUCCUGCUACGCAACGAGAAAUUUAUUGCUCAAUAUGAUUCCUAUGUUGUUGCUGUGCAGGGAAAGCAUGACGUUAUUGCGGAAAACUAGGAUUGCAAGUGCUUCCUUAAGACAAAGUAUAACCUAUUGCAUGCUGACUGCAAAUUAAACACUUUAUAUUUGUGACAAUUUAAAUUCUGCAAGAGUUUCUUGGAGUAUUAACUUCCAUGUUGAUUUGGUGAUUGUUCUAUUUAUGUUUUCUACAACAAAAGGUACUCGUUCUUUUAUGCUGAUGUCUCAGAAAUUGGUGUGGGGGAAAGUCAAUUACUUAAGAAAGGUAACCAAAAUAUCAAGCUUCUGUGUUCUGUUUCUAUCAUAUUUACCUGAUUCUGGCAGCCAUAUUGAUUACCGUGCUGUCAUUUAGAUGAUUGUGAUCUAAUUUAAUAAAGAUACCUUCCUUUUGAAUGGGGACAUCUCAAAGAAUUAUGUAAGAGCCGCUUGGACGGAAAAUACUUUAAAGGCAACCGCAGAUGUGGAAAUGACUAUAACAUUUUUGUUGUAGUCAUCCACAGUCGCUCAUUAAAUAAUUAAGUCCAGUUUAACUGUUUAAUCGAACGCAUUAAACAGCCGAUCUAUAUUAAGUUUGAUACACAUCUGUAUUGUUAUAUAAUUAGAUUGUGUGUUUUACUUUGCUUGUGCGAUCUAAUAGACCCAACGUGGCUCCCGUGUUUUGUUUUAUUUAACUAUUAACGCCCAUGCAUUUUGGAUCAUUUAUGUUUAUGUUUGAAUUCAUACCCAGAAUGAUUAUUGAAUUUGAGCUUCAUUGGGUGCAUAUCUAUUUUUUUGAUAAUAAUAGUUGAAUUAUAUUAAGAGAACAAUUACGAGGUAGUUAAUAAAAUGAACACAUCUAUGGCAUAUAUCUACAGUAAGUUAUGAAGCUUCUUUUUUUUUUAUUGUAAUGUUGUAUUAUCAUUUUAGUGUCUGAAAUAUAAGAAACAGUAUUAUUAUUUUUUAUAAUAUGUUUAGUUGACAAAAUUUUAAUUUAACUAAAGAUUCUAAGAGGAAAGAUUCAAAAGAUUGGAUAGAGAAGAUUAUUGGAUGGUUGUUGAGCGACUACGGAUUAUAAGCUGAAAAGUUAAGAUUAUUUUCAGAAGUUCCGAAAGAAUUUAAAAGAUAUCUGUUGCUAUUCUUUAUAAGAAUAUAUAAACAUCGACUACUAAGAAUUCAAGAUAAUAGUAUAUGUAAUUUUUGCUUCGAUUAUGUUAUGAAACUUCAUUUUUUUCUUAUAAUGUUGUUUUAUCAUUUUGGUGUCUUCAACAUAAGCAAUAGUAUCAUUAUUUUUUUAGUGAUAUGUUUAGUUACUAAAAUUUUAACUUUAUAAAAAAUUCUAAGAGGAAAGACUCAAAAAAGUGAACAAAAUAUAUUGUUGGAUGGUUGUGGGGGAACUAUUGAUUAUAAAUCAGUAAUGAUGUUAUGAUGUUGAAGAGUGUAAACUUCUUUUUAAAAAUUCUGAAAAGACAUAAAAGAUAUGUAUUUGUAAGAUUUUGGAUUAUAAAAAAAUACAAAUGGAAUUUAUAUUUUUCAGCAAUAGUUUUUGAACCAAACAACUUUGAAUAAUUAUCUUAUUGAAUUGUUUCUCAGCACUUACGUAUUUUUUAUCAUGGGAAGGAUCUAUUAAGUUGCAGCAUCAUCAGGCCUCAACAAAAAUCAUCUAUAUUUCUGUAAGGUCGAUAAAGUCAUCAUAUAAGUAAGAUACUUGAAACUGAUUAUGACAGACUACUUCUAUUGGGAUGCAUAUGUAAAUUAUGACAGACUACUCCAAAAUAGACCCAAAAUCUCAAUGUAUUUAGUUAAGUAUAACUAGUCCUAACUAAAUCACAACUGAUUUAUUGUGACGGGUUUGAAUCACAACUGAAUCAAUGCAUUUAGUUAGGUAUAAAUAUGACCGGUUUGAAUUGAAUCAAACAGGUUCGUUGAUUGCAAAUCAAAUCGUAAUCUACCAGGGGUAAUUUAAUUGAGGUUUCUAGGUUUGAAAAAUUAGAAUCAAUGAUCCCAUAAUUGAUUAUUCCGCUUCCUAUUUAAACCAUCUAUUUGAUGGUGUUCUAUAUAGAUAAAAACCUCGAUCAGAUAGGUUCUCGAUGGAUAAUUGGGCUUAAACAAUUGGGCCCAAUAGUUGGACCAACAAUCGAAUGAAUGUCAAAUUGGUUAUAUUUAGGGAUACUUUAGUUAUUUUAUAAUUAAAAAUAUUAAAAAUUAGAAAAUAAAUUAGUCCUUCCAAUAAGCAAAUAAUAGCUAGUUAUGAAGAUAUUUUAGGAAAAAAAAUUUAAAAAUCCUAUAGAUACCCCAAAAAUCUUUUAUUUUUUUCCAGAUUACUUGUUGAAGGUUGAACGGUUUGAUGCUCUUUUCUUAAUCCGAUGGCAAGUGGAAGCUAUCACUUUACCACCUAAGAGGCUUUUGGAAAUUUGAUAUUGGUAAUUCAAGAAAACCAACGUAUCAAUGUUGAUGUUAAGAUGUUGAUAUGAUGGCUUUUAAAAAUAUAAGAAGAUAUGAUGACCAAACUCAAGUUAGACAUCUUCUAAGUUAUACUUUAAAAAUGUCUGAAACACUGAUGGCUCCUUCCAUAUCAUAUGUAAUUAUUGAGAUCAAAUUUUUAAAUAUAAAGAAGGAAGAGGAUAUAGAAUAUUUUGAAAGAAUAUUACGAAGAAACAUCCAUCACAAGUUAGUACGGUGAAAGUCAAAAGUAAAUUUUCAGAUACCCUACUAAUCUCACUUUUUGUUAUUCUAUUAAAAAAAUUAUGAAACAUUAGCUAUAUUUAUUUUUGUUAAAUAUUUAUUUUUUUAGUUUUGGUGAACAAGUUGGAUUUAUUGAUUAUUAUCAAUAGGCUUUAAAUCAUAUCACAUAAUGAAUUUUCAUAUCACUCUUGCUCGCACUUUAUAUAAUCUUUAUAAAAAUAAUUAUCAUGUUUUUAUUUAUAUUGAUAUUUGGAGUUCAAAUGUACUCAUAAUAUUGUUAUUGGAUUGAUAGUGAUUGGACCAUGCAAAAUAAAUUAUUGCUUUUAGAGAAGUUCAGAAAGAAAUUUCUUUUCCUGCUAGGCGAGGAGAAAUUUAUUCCUCUAUAUGAUUCCUAUGUUGCAGCUAAUUCAGAGACUUAAAUUUGAGCUACGUUGUUGGUUGUAUCUCUAAUUUUUUUUAUAGUAACAGUUUAAUUGGUUGUAUCUCUAUUUUUUUUAUAUAGUAACAGUUUAUUUGUAUUAAGAGAACAAUUAAUAAUAUGCACACAUCUAUAUCUCCUAUUAAGCAAGCUAUUUUAUUCUUGUGAAGUUAAUGAAAAAAAUAAGGCAGAUUUUAUAAUUUAAAUGAUAAAAAGAUUAGAAGAUUUUCUAGCGAUGUUUUUACCUGAUGGAAUUCAAUAUAUAAACUCUUUAAAAAAUAUUUCGAAUAUAAAUAGUUAUUAUAUAUUUUUAUUACAAAUAAUAUUAUGAAAGUUCGCUUAUAUUUGCAACAUUGGAAUGUGUGGGAUAAAAUUUUAAAGAUUUUAAAACUGUUUAAUAAUGUAAUAUAUACUUUUACUGGUGUUUAUUAUCUUACUAUGCAUAUUUUUUUGGUUGUUUGCAUUAAUAUGCUUGGUGAAUUAUAAGAACAUCAAUAUGAUAAUAAUUUAAAUAUGACAAUAGUGAUUAUAAAAUUAAAAAGGAUAAAUUAUUUUUUAAUUCUAUCGAUUUAUUUAAUUACAUAUUUAAUUACAUUUGACUUUAGUAAUUAUUCAAUUAUUUAACCAUUUAUUAUGAAAUUUAGCGGUAAAUGAUAUUGGUCAUAAAAUAAGAGAUAUUAAAAAAUUUAUUGUUAACUUAUAUAACUAUUAUAGUGCUAACUAUAGUAGACAACAUGGUACCUUUCUAACUAUAGUAGACAAAUUAUUUUUAAAUAAAAUAAUAAAAAAAAAUUAUUGGUUCAAACUUGAAUCGAAAUGGAUCAAACCGAAACCAAUUCUUGCCGAUUCGAUUUUUAUUCCAAAUUUUGAAUUGACAAUUUUUGAAAUGGAUGAUUCUGAAAUGGUGACUAAGUCUUAAAUAUAACUUAUAUUUAAAUCAUCAAAUUUUAUAUUUGCUGGUUUAGUUUGUGAAUUGAAGGACAAUGUAUUUGUAACAGUAGAAAGAGAUUUGAAUGCUUUAAAUUUGACUAUAUAUAUGUUUUCUUACACAGAGCAUAAAGAGUUCGGAUAUUUUAUGGCUAUUGUUAUUAGUGUGAUUGUUUGCACUUAUUGGAUUUAUUGGCAAAUUCUUACUGAUUUAGAUUAUGCCAGUGAAGAUUCUCACUGAUUUAGAUUAUGGCUUUAUUGAGAGAAAGUUCUUUACUACAGCUGAAGCCACUGAAGUCAAUGAGAGCCCGAUGAGUGGGCCGGGCGAGAGAGUUCAACCGGGUGCAGCCCAGGAGCCCGCCUGAUUCAGGUUGUGUCGAACCCCCGAGUCAAAUCAAUUUGAGGCAAUGGUUCGAUUGAACCAGAUGAGAACGGCGUCCUCAAAAUUCGCACCCGUGCCCUAAAUGCAGCGGUGAAACUGUCUCCUUAUUCACAGCCACUGCAACUGCGGCGUGUACCUUGGCGAUAGCCGGCGGCGGCGGCGGCGGCGGCAUCUUCCUCCGUCGAGCUCUUAUCGCUGCGGCGUUUUCCUCGGCGAACGGUGGAUGCUGAGGCUUCCUCUCCGUCAGCGAACGGUACAGCGCCCGGUAUCUCUCUCUUACUCCUCCUCCUCCUCCUUCGCCGUCACACAAUCCCUUCUCCUCCCUCUUCCCCCCUUUCGUCGCAGCUCUCCCGAUUCCCCGACACCAUCCUCCUCCUCCCUUCUCCCCCCUCCUCCCUCUUUCACCCGUUCAUCGCAGCCCCCCGCCCCUCUUCCCCGAUCCCUCCCCCUCCUCCACUUCAUCACAGUCCCCGNNNNNNNNNNNNNNNNNNNNNNNNNNNNNNNNNNNNNNNNNNNNNNNNNNNNNNNNNNNNNNNNNNNNNNNNNNNNNNNNNNNNNNNNNNNNNNNNNNNNNNNNNNNNNNNNNNNNNNNNNNNNNNNNNNNNNNNNNNNNNNNNNNNNNNNNNNNNNNNNNNNNNNNNNNNNNNNNNNNNNNNNNNNNNNNNNNNNNNNNNNNNNNNNNNNNNNNNNNNNNNNNNNNNNNNNNNNNNNNNNNNNNNNNNNNNNNNNNNNNNNNNNNNNNNNNNNNNNNNNNNNNNNNNNNNNNNNNNNNNNNNNNNNNNNNNNNNNNNNNNNNNNNNNNNNNNNNNNNNNNNNNNNNNNNNNNNNNNNNNNNNNNNNNNNNNNNNNNNNNNNNNNNNNNNNNNNNNNNNNNNNNNNNNNNNNNNNNNNNNNNNNNNNNNNNNNNNNNNNNNNNNNNNNNNNNNNNNNNNNNNNNNNNNNNNNNNNNNNNNNNNNNNNNNNNNNNNNNNNNNNNNNNNNNNNNNNNNNNNNNNNNNNNNNNNNNNNNNNNNNNNNNNNNNNNNNNNNNNNNNNNNNNNNNNNNNNNNNNNNNNNNNNNNNNNNNNNNNNNNNNNNNNNNNNNNNNNNNNNNNNNNNNNNNNNNNNNNNNNNNNNNNNNNNNNNNNNNNNNNNNNNNNNNNNNNNNNNNNNNNNNNNNNNNNNNNNNNNNNNNNNNNNNNNNNNNNNNNNNNNNNNNNNNNNNNNNNNNNNNNNNNNNNNNNNNNNNNNNNNNNNNNNNNNNNNNNNNNNNNNNNNNNNNNNNNNNNNNNNNNNNNNNNNNNNNNNNNNNNNNNNNNNNNNNNNNNNNNNNNNNNNNNNNNNNNNNNNNNNNNNNNNNNNNNNNNNNNNNNNNNNNNNNNNNNNNNNNNNNNNNNNNNNNNNNNNNNNNNNNNNNNNNNNNNNNNNNNNNNNNNNNNNNNNNNNNNNNNNNNNNNNNNNNNNNNNNNNNNNNNNNNNNNNNNNNNNNNNNNNNNNNNNNNNNNNNNNNNNNNNNNNNNNNNNNNNNNNNNNNNNNNNNNNNNNNNNNNNNNNNNNNNNNNNNNNNNNNNNNNNNNNNNNNNNNNNNNNNNNNNNNNNNNNNNNNNNNNNNNNNNNNNNNNNNNNNNNNNNNNNNNNNNNNNNNNNNNNNNNNNNNNNNNNNNNNNNNCUCUCUUACUCCUCCUCCUCCUCCUUCGCCGUCACACAAUCCCUUCUCCUCCCUCUUCCCCCUUUCGUCGCAGCUCUCCCGAUUCCCCGACACCAUCCUCCUCCUCCCUUCUCCCCCCUCCUCCCUCUUUCACCCGUUCAUCGCAGCCCCCGCCCCUCUUCCCCGAUCCCUCCCCCUCCUCCACUUCAUCACAGUCCCCGCCCCCCGUUUUCCUACUCCGAUACCAACGGUCCCGUCUCAGUUUUCCUACUCCGGACCCGACAGCCCCCUCUCCAUUAUCUUGCUCCGGACCCGACAGCCCCCGUCUCCCUCCUCUACACCCCUCUUCGCCCUCUCUAUACAUCUUCCCGUCCCCUUUCCUUCUCCCUGAUAGUUACCCGCUACCCUCCCAACAAGUAGUCAGCAGCAUGUCUUGAGCAUUUACUUUAAAGAAAUAGCAAGUCACAGUAUGCAAGUUAAAUACUGUUGUUGAGAUAGAAAGCAGGAGAAGUGCUGCUUUUAUAAAGAGCAAAGGGAAUUGGGGAGUCUUUGAGAAAAAUAAAAAAACACGGAAAAGAUAGAACAAGAGAUAGCAGAGACAAUAAUUGGGUCACUGUCCAAUGAAAAUCAUAAUUAUUUGUCAAUAGAAUCAUGCACAAGUCUGACUAUUCCCCAUGUGAAGCAUUUUAAUUAAAAAUAUACCUAAGAUAAUACUAAUCUGACUAGGUUUCCCAAAAGAAGCUCUCUCAACAGAAACUGCUUAUUUUGAUGAAGCGUUUGGUUCAUCAAACCUCUUAGUUUUCUUAUUAUGUUUACUGCAUUGCAGUUUCCUUUUCAAGCACAUCAGAAAAUUUCCACACAAAACCCCAAAUGAUACAAAGGAAUCGACUCAAUAUAAAGGACAAGUUGAGUCAACAACUAGAAUUUGACUUGAUUUCCAAACCCGAAAAUAGACCCAAAAUCUCAAUGUAUUUGGUUAGGUAUAACCUUACACCUUUACGUCAGCAUAGUGUGUUCUCUGCUGUAGUGCUGAAAGCAACUAUCUUUGCUCCUUGAGGCUAGUUCGUACCUCAAAACACACAGGCCUGCUUAUAUUUGGAUUAUCAAAUCUUGUAUUUGCUGGUUUAGUUGGUGAUUUGAAGGAGAUUUUGCAGGUGACAAUAGCAAGAGAUAUUAAUGCUCAUAAUUUAACUACAGAUAUUUUCUUAUACAGAGUUCAAUGAUGCAAAACAUCCAUAUGGAUGAUCAUGAAUUGUUUGAACAUCAUGGCUUUUGUUAUUAUUUUGGUCGUUUGCACAUGCUGGUUUUAUUGUCUAAUUCUCACUGAUAUAGGCUUUUUUUUUCUUCAUUAAUGAUAUGUAGCUGUGGCAACAUAUAAUUUAUUUUACUGUAGUUGAAGUUAUUUACAUGAUCAGUCUUUCUCAUAAAUUAAGUUCCUUUAUCAGCAAAGAACCAAAUAAACUAGUAGCAUUUCUUGAUUGAGGCAGUUUUCUUAUCUCUUUAUUCAUUUUUCAGAAUAUUUAUUGCCUUUCUCUGGUCUUCCAGAUAUGUUGUUUUUUUUUUGUCAAGUUGCUCAUCAUCAUCAACAAUGCCCUUUUUAGCAUGUUGAACCUUACAAAUUACUGUUGUUAAUUAAUUAAACAGUGUCUUUUCUACUUACGAGUCUUGCUAGACUUUUAACUAGAUCAUCUCUUUACAUUCUUGAUGAAAUGGAUCAAUUACUCUGGAAGUGCUCAUUUGAAAUGUUUCAGAUUUUAGUUGUAGGACAUUAGUGAAUUUGAUGUUAGAGAAAACAUUAUGCAUCUUCCAGUUAUUCUGAAUUCUGUAGUACCAUUUGCAAGUCAUUGAUGUUCAACCUAUAAGUAUAAACAUGAGUAUCGUCUGUAUACGAUCAACAUUGUAAAUGCCUAUGCCACUCUUAUGCAACAUAUUUGAUGAAUUUGAUAUAGUUUUUAAUUUGCUACAGGGAUAUAGGAUGCUUGGUAGUGUCUAAACCCACCAACUACAAUAUAAAAAUAAGUGGAAGAUAGUGUCUGUGCUCUGGUGUUAUAUGAUGCCAGUAUUUCAGUGGUGGAGAAUUGCUCGGAUGUGAGCAUUAGAAUGAGUAACGAAUUAUAGGUACUCGUUAUCAACUCUCAAACACCAUUUAGAGACUUAUCUCUGGAAGAAAUGGCUGAUUGGAGCUGAAUGCAUGUGGAUUAACACGAGUGGUAUAGGAAUGUUGUCUGAGACAGAUGAUUAGUAGAAAGUUUUCAACGUCCUUGAUUUGAGUUAGAAGAGGAAUUUGGACUUGGAGAGGGCAGAAUUAAGACUACUUUUCUUGUAUUUUUCUGCAAACAGUACAUGAUACUGCCUCAAAAGACAAUGUUUUUGGUGCAGAAGAGGCUCUUUUGCCUUCUCUCGUGUAACAAGUCCACCGUCCAUGUUUCCUCCUAUCAACUCUGCAGUCUGUUUAGCUUUACCACUGCCGAAGAGCACAGUUUAAAUCAUGGAUCCAACUUUACGUUGGUCGACCCCCUUGAGUCAUGUGAACUUUCCUCAAAAGAGGCUGCAAAAAGGGCCAAGGAUCGCAUCUGUGACAAAGAACUUUCAAGUUCAAGUCCUUCCAUUGAGUUCUUCAAGCAGAGCGGUUGGAGUGAUCCACUAGUCAUGAAGCUUUUGCAGAGGGAACCCAGGCUUCUACGUGCUAACGUAGAGACUAUCCUGAAGCCCAGGAUGAGAUCUUUGCAGGACAUGGGAUUUUCUGACACCGAAAUAGUUCAGCUGGUUUCAUCAUGUCCGUGUCUGCUCUAUUUACGUGAUAUCCAACCAAGGAUCAACUUCUGGAGGUCACUUCUUGGUUCUAAUGAGAGGUUAAUUAAAGCCAGCAGGGGGAACAUGUUUCUCCUUACUUCUAGCGUGGCUCAAAAGAUUGAGCCCAAUAUAUCUCUCUUGAGGGAACGUGGCAUCAGUGAGCAAUGCAUCACGCAGAUGUUGGUGGCAGUACCGAGUUUUUUUUGUCGAAUGAACAAAUAUAUCGACGAAUCUAUCAAACGUGUUGAAGAGUUGGGAGUGUCACGUGACUCUAAAAUGUUCCCUCAUGCACUUUUAACAGUCAUGACCUUGAGCAGGUCCAGGUUUGAUGCUACCUUUGCAACCUUGAUGAGCUUUGGGUGGUCCCAACCAGACAGCCUUGCUACAUUCAGGAGGUAUCCAUUCAUUUGGAAUUACUCAAAGAAGAACUUAUCUGACAAGAUGACAUUCCUGAUGAAGGAAGCUGGUUGUGAGCUGACAUAUAUCAUUGGCCAUCCCACGCUUCUUACAUUUAGCUUGGAGAAGAGGUUGAGACCUCGAUGUGAAGUUAUGAAUUUUCUUGAUCAUAAUAAAUUGCUGGAUAAAGGACAUGACCUGCUAUCUGUCAUGCUGCUAAGCGAAGAGAAGUUCAGAAACAAAUUCCUUUUCCUGCUACGCAAGGAGAAAUUUAUUGCUCAAUAUGAUUCCUAUGUUGUUGCUGUGCACGGAAAGCAUGACGUUAUUGCCGAAAACUAGGAUUGCAAGUGCUUCCUUAAGACAAAGUGUCGACCUAUUGCAUGCUGACUGCAAAUUAAUCAUUUUACAUUUGUGACAAUUUAAAAUUCUCCUUGAGUUUCUUGGAGUAUAACUUCCCUGUUGAUUUGGUGAUUGUUCUUCUAUUUAUGUUUUCUACAACAAAAGGUACUCAUUCUUUUAUGCUGAUGUCUCAGAAAUUGGUAUGGGGGAAAGUCAAUUACUUAAGAAAGAUAACCAAAAUAUCAAGCUUUUGUGUUCUGUUUCUAUCAUAUUUACCUGAUUCCGCCAGCCAUAUUGAUAACUGUGCUGUCAUUUAGAUGAUUGUGAUCUAAUUUAAUAAGGAUACCUUCCUUUUGAAUGGGGACAUCUCAAAGAAUUAUGUAAGAGCCGCUUGGACAGAAAAUACUUCAAAGGCAACCACAGAUGUGGAUAUGACUAACAUUUUUGUUGUAGUCAUAUACACACUCGCUCAUUAAAUAAUUAAGUCCAGUUUAACCGUUUAAUUGAACGCAUUAAACAAACGAUCUAUAUUAAGUUUGAUACACAUCUGUAUUGUUAUAUAAUUAGAUUAUGUGUUUUACUUUGCUUGUGCGAUCUAAUAGACCCAACAUGGCUCCCGUUUAAUUGUGUGUUUCAUUUUUUUCUUAUAAUGUUGUAUUAUCAUUUUGGUGUCUUCAACAUAAGGAAUAGUAUCAUUAUUUUUUUAGUGAUAUGUUUAGUUACUAAAAUUUUAACUUAAUAAAUAAUUCUAAGAGGAAAGACUUAGAAAAGUGAACAAAAUAUAUUGUUGGAUGGUUGUUGGGGAACUAUUGAUUAUAAAUCAGUAAUGAUGUUAUGAUGUUAAAGAGUGUAAAAUUAUUUUUAAAAAUUCUGAAAAGACAUAAAAGAUAUGUAUUUGUAAGAUUUUGGAUAAUAAAAAAAUACAAAUGGAGUUUACAUUUUUCAGCAAUAGUUUUUGAACCAAACAAGUUUCAAAAAAUUUACUGCUUAUGUCCUCAUUUAUUUUUCAAUAUAUUCCCUAUUAUGCAUUAAUAGACCUAGUUGAAUAGAUGAUAAUGCUAUAAAUCAGAUACUCCUCAUGAUUGAAAAAUUAGAAAAUAUCAAGAUUUUUGUAUUUAAGUUAUUCGGACUCAUUAAAACUCUACGACAACAUGUUUUUUUUAGUUAAUAAUUUAUUGAUAAGUCCCUUCCACAAGUCACUGACAAUCACUUCCUCAUAUGUUUAUUUCAUAAUAUAAUUAUUUAUUUUAAUUUUUUUAAAAAAUAAAUGGCUAACAUAAGAUUUCAUCACGUGAGGAUAUUGAGUUCAUUAAAAAAGGUCUUCUUCUUCGUGGCCCCUUUAGCAAGAAACUUUCAAUUAGGAAGAUCCGUGAAAACAACAAACAAUAACCUUUAGUACUUUGAAUAAGUAUCUUAUUAAAUUAUUUCUCGAGCACUCUACAUUUACAUGUUUGAUCGGACCAAUUAAGUUGCAAUAUUAUCGACUACUUCUGUCUUUUUUUUUUUUCGUUAGGCCUUGAUAAAAAUCAUAUAUAUUUCUGUAAAGUCGAUAAAGUUAUCAUCUAAGUAAGAUACUUGAAACUAGUUAUGACAUACUACUAUUGGGAUGCAUCCGUAAAUUAUAACAGACUUCUCCAAAAUAGACCCAAAAUCUCAAUGUAUUUAGUUAAGUAUAACUAGUCCUAACUAAAUCACAACUGGUUUGUUGUGAUGGGUUUGAAUCACAACUAAAUCAAUGCAUUUAGUUAGGUAUAAAUAUGACUGGUUUGAAUUGAAUCAAACCAGAAUCGAUGGUUCGUUGAUUGCAAAUCAAAUCGUAAUCUACUAGGGGUUGUUUAAUUGAGGUUUCAAGGUUUGAAAAAUUAGAAUCAACGAUACCAUAAUUGAUUAUUCCGCUUCCUAUUUAAACCAUCGAUUUGAUGGUGUUUUAUAUAGAUAAAAACCUUGAUCAAAUAGGUUGUAGAUAGAUAAUUUGGCUUAAACGAUUGGGCCCAAUAGUAUGUGCAUGGACUAUAUUUAGGGGUACUUUAGUUAUUUUAUAAUUAAAAAUAUUAAAAAUUAGAAAACAAAUUAGUCCUUCCAAUAAGCAAAUAAUAGCUAGUUAUGAAGAUAUUUUAAGAAAAAAUUAAAACCCUAUAGAUACCCCAAAAAUCUUUUAUUGUUUCUCGCAUCAUCGAUUAAGUACUUGUUGAAGUUUGAACGCUUUGAUGCUUUUUUCUUAAUCUGAUGGCAAGUGGAAGCUAUCACUUCACCACAGAGGAGGCUUUUGAAAAUCUGAUCUUGAUAAUUCAAGAAAGCCAACAUAUCAAUGUUGAUGUUAAGAUGUUGAUAGAUGACUUUUAAAAAUAUAGAAGAAAGAAGAUAUGAUGACCAAACUCAAGUUAGACAUCUUCAAGUUAUACUUUAAAAACAUCUGAAACACUGAUAGCUCCUUCCAUAUUGUAAUUAUUGAGACUAAAUUUUUAAAUACAAAGAGGGAAGAAGAUAUAGAAUAUUUUGAAAGUAUAUCAAGAAGAAACAUCCAUUACAAGUUGGUACGAUUAUACCAGUGAAGAUUCUCAAUAAAAAGUUAAUUUUUCUUCAUUAAUGAUUGGUUGCAUAAAGUUCUUUACUAUACUAUAGCAGAAGCGAUUGACGACACCGGGCGCCCGAUAAGUGGGCCGGGCGGAUGAGUUCGACCGGGUGCGGCCCAGGCGCCGCAUGAUUUGGCUGUGUCGAGCCUUAGUCAAGUCUAUUUGGAACUAAGGUUCGAUUGAACCAGAUGAGAACGGCAUCCUCAAAGUCGCACCCGUGCCCUAAAUGCCGCGGUGAAACUGUCUCCUCCUCUACAGCGACCACGACUGCGGCGUUUUCCACGGAGAACGGUGCAUGCUGCGGCUUCCUCUCCGUCGGCGAACGGUGACAGCGCCCGGUAUCUCUCUCUUACUCCUCCUCUUCCUCCUUCGCCGUUAGUUAUAUGUGCUUUCCCUGCACAUCAUCAACAGUGGCUUCUUUAGCAUGUUGAACCUCACAAAUUACUGUUGUUAAUUUCUUAAACAGUGUGUUUUCUAAUUACCAGUCUUGUUAGACCUAUAACAAAAUCAUCUCUUUACAUUCUUGUUGAAAAGGAUCAAUUAUUCUGGAAGUGCUCAUUUGAACUGUUACAGGUUUUAGUUGUAGGACAUUAGUGAAUCUGAUGUUAGACAAAACAUUAUGCAUCUUCCACCUAAUCUUAGUGCUGAAGUACCCAUUGCAAGUCAUCGACUGAUGUUCAACCUAUUAGUACAAAGUUGAAAAUCAUCUGUAUACAAUCAACAUAGUAAAUGCCAUUGUCACUCUUAUGCUGCAUAUUUGAUGAAAAUACAUUUGAUAUAAUUUUUCAAUAUCUGCAUGGAUAUAGUGUGCUUCACAGUUUCUAAAGCUACUACCUACAAUAGAUAAAUAGCGGAAGGUAGUGUCAGUGUGCAUGUGUCAUAUCAAGACAUUAUUUCAGUGGUGGUUAAUACCUUGGAUGUGAGCAUGGUAAUAAGUAAAUGAUCAAUGGUACCCGUAAUCAACAUUCAAACACCAUUUAGAGGCUUACAUCUGAAAGAAAUGGUUAAUGGGAACUGAAUGCAGGUGGAUUUACGUGAGUGGUAGGGGAAUGUUAUCCGAUACAGAUGAUUAGUUGGAAGCUUUCAACUUCCUUUUGGUUGGAAGCAGACACAGAAAAUAUAUUUAGUUCAGCAAUAAAACUACUUGUGUUUUUCUGCAAAUAGUGUGUGAUACUGCUUCAAAAUAUAAUGUUUUUGGUGCAAAAGAGGCUCUUUUGCAUUCUCCCAUUUAACAAGUCCACCAUCCAUGUUUCUUCCUAUGAACUCUUCAGUCUGCUUAGCUUUUCCACCGCCAAAGACCAAAUUUCAGAUCAUAAAUCCUACUUUACAGUGGCCAACCCCCUUCAAUCAUGUGAACUUUCCUCGGAAACGGCUGCAAAAACAGCCAAGUUCCUCACCUGUCACACAAAAUCUUCAAGUUCAAGUCUUUCCAUUGAGUUCUUUAAGCAGAGCGGUUGGAGUGAUGCACGAGUCUUGAAGCUUACCCAGAGGGAACCCAGGUUCCUAUGUGCUGACAUAGAGACUGCCAUGAAGCCCAAGUUGAGAUCUUUGUAGGACAUGGGAUUUUCUGACACUGAAAUAGUUCAGCUGGUUUCAUCAUGUCCGACUAUGCUCCUUCUACAUGACAUCAAACAGAGGAUCAACUUCUGGAGGUCACUUCUUGGUUCUAAUGAGAGGUUAAUUAAAGCCAGCCGGAGGAACAUGUUUCUCUUUACUUCUAGCUUGGCUCGAAAGAUUGAGCCCAAUGUAUCUCUCUCGAGGGAAUGUGGCAUCAGUGAGCAACGCAUUGCGCAGAUGGUGGUGAGACUACCAAAUUUUUUAUGUCAAACAGAAAAAAUGUAUCAAGGAAGUUAUCAAAUAUGUUGAGGAGUUGGGUGUGUCACGUGGCUGUAAAAUGUUCCCUCGUGUACUAUUAGCAGUCAUGACCCUGAGCAGGUCCAGGUUUGACGCUACCUUUGCAACCCUGAUUAAUUAUGGGUGGUCCCAACCAGAUUGCGUUGCUGCAUUCAGGAAGUAUCCAUCCAUUUAGUGUUUGCCAAAGAAGACCUUAUGUGACUAGAUGACAUUCCAGAUGAAGGAAGCUGGUUGUGAGUUGACAUAUAUCAUUUGCCGUCCUAUAACGAUUUUAGCUAGAAUUGCCUAAGACAUAAGGUACCUUUGCGUCAAAGACACGAACUUAGCUUGCGUUGUCUAUGUCGCGCUUCGUCCUUACGAUUUACGUUCGCAAAGAUUAGCCCACUUGCAACCUCUCGCAGGUCUCGAAACAUCUGUAAAAGAGAAAGUUGAUUAGUUUAAAGAACGAGCGACGGACAAGUCCCGACGUCUCGCGAAAAAGAGAAGCUUUACAAGUAAUUCAGCGAGCAACUUGUAUGCACAAGAGAAAAGAGGGAGAGGGGGAAAACAAGGAUUUUAGAAGGUUGAACGAACAGUUGUAAGUCCGCAAACAGUUGCUCACCCGACACUAUACCGAGGUCUCAUUCAGCCUUGUGCCACCCAGGUGGUUCUAGGGUGCUGAGAUGGCUAACGUUUCACGUGCAGCAGCGGGCUGCAGAAAUCAGCCUGUGGCAUGGGAAAACAGAGCCUUUUUGGGGUCGUUUUGCUUGGUUCGGCGAGUGGUCACACCGUAGCGUUAUAACUUAUUCGAACUUACAUUUUUACAAACAAAAAGACUUAAAACUAAGCCAAAACAUGUUGCCAAGCAAUUAUACAUGUAGACGAGAACGACGAAUGAUUCGGUGAACGGAGUUGUUCAAGGUGCGCAACGACCAUUCAUAACAUUCUCCCCCACUCAAAUUGUCGAUGCCCUCGUCGACGCUUGUUGAUAGUUGUUGAUGAUUGCUUCUUCAUGUCAUAGGGUGUCUUCAGGCUCCCAACUAGCUUCAGAUCGGGGAAGCUUUCGCCACUUCACCAAGUACACGGUCUGCUCAGCUCUAGUGGGUAGCUUUAUCUUGCGAUCUGCUAGAAUGGUUUCAACUCGCUUUUCGUAGGAGGCUGUGGUGGGGGGUAGCCAAGUUGGAACACUUCGGGAAGCAUCUUGCGGAUCCGAGUGGUAGGCUUUCAAGUUGCUGGCGUGAAGAAUAUUGUGAAUGUUGAACCACGUCGGCAGCUGCAACUUGUAGGAGACAUUAUCCACCCUACUGAUAAUUGGGAAGGGCCCUUCAUACUUGCGCACCAAUCCUUUAUGUAUUUUGUUUCUAAAGAAUUAGAGUGAUGCUGGUUGGAGCUUGACCAACACCAAAUCGUCGAUCUUGAACUCUUACGGUCGCCUACCAAAGUUUGCCCACUUCAUUCUUUUUGCUGUCUUCUCCAAGUAAGUCCACACAAUAUCUACAUUUCGGUGUCACUCCCUUGCAAAGUGGUAGGCUGAUGGAUUACUCCCAGUAUAUCCAAUUACUUUAGUGUGAGGAGUUGACGGUUGUUACCCUGUAAUAAUCUCGAAAGGGCUCUUGUUGGAUGCAGAGCUUCGCUUCAAGUUAUAGGAGAAUUGGGCAAUGUCCAAUAACUUCAUCCAAUCUUGUUGGUUGGCACUCACGUAGUGCCGAAGAAUAUUGCUGUAGGAGAUGAAAGCCACUGUCUCGACAAUCUUAGACUUGUUCUUCGAAUCAAAAUACAAUGCGUUGCCAAUAUUUAGAUGAUCAAAUCUUAUAUUUGCUGGUUUAGUUUGAAGGAGAAUAUAAUACUGGUAACAAUAGAAAGAGAUUUUAAUGCUUUGACUAAAUAUGUUUUCUUACGCAAGCAUAAAUAGUUCGGAUAUUAUGGCUUUUUAUAUUAUUGUUAUUGGUUGCACUUGUUGGAUUUAUUGGCAAAUUCUCACUGAUUUAGAUUAAUAGCUGAAGCAAUUGAAGUCACCGAGCGCCCGAUAAGUGGGCCGGGGGUGCGAGUUCAACCGGGUGCGGCCCAGGCGCCCGUCUGAUUAAGGCUGGGUCUAGCCCAAGUCAAGUCAAUUUGGAUCUCUGGUUCGAUUGAACCAGAUGAGAACGGCAUCCACAAAUUCGCACCCGUGCCCUAAAUGCAGCGGUGAAACUGUCUCCUUCUCCACAGCGACCGCGACUGCGGCGUUUUCCUUGGCGAAAGGCGGCAGCUGCGGUGGCAUCUUCCUACGUCGAGCUCUUAUCGCUGCGGCGUUUUCCUCGGCAAACGGUGGAUGCUGCGGUUUCCUCUCCGUCGGCGAACGGUGAUAGCGCCCGGUAUCUCUCUCUUACACAUCCUCCUCCUCCUCUUCCUCCUUCUCCGUCGCAAAAUCCCUUCCCCUCUCUCUUUCCCCGUUCAUCGCAGCCCACCGCCGCCCCGGCCUCAUCGCUGCCCCCUUUCCCCAAUCCCUCCUUCCUCUUCCCCUUUCGCCACAGCUCUCCCUCUUCCCCGACACCGUCCCACGACUCCAUAUGUAGCUGACGCUACAUAUAAUUUUUUUAGUGUAGUUUAAGUUAUUUACAUGAGGAAUCUUUCUCAUAAAUUAAGUUCCUUUAUCAGCAUAGAACCAAAUAAACUAGUAGCAUUUCUUGAUUGAGGCAGUUUUCUUAUCCCUUUAUUCAUUUUUCAGAAAAUUUAUUGCCUUUCUCUGGCCUUCCAGCUAUGUUGUUUUUUUUUGGUCAAGUUGCUCAUCAUCAUCAACAAUGCCCUUUUUAGCAUGUUGAACCUCACAAAUUACCCUUGUUAAUUAAUUAAACAGUGUCUUUUCUGCUUACCAGUCUUGCUAGACUUUUAACUAGAUCAUCUCUUUACAUUCUUAAUGAAAUGGAUCAAUUACUCCCCAAUGUUUCAGAUUUUAGUUGUAGGACAUUAGUGAAAUCGAUGUUAGAAAAAACAUUAUGCAUCUUCCAGUUAUUCUGAAUUCUGUAGUACCAUUUGCAAGUCAUUGAUGUUCAACCUAUAAGUAUAAACAUGAGUAUCGUCUGUAUACGAUCGACAUUGUAAAUGCCUAUGCCACUCUUAUGCAGCAUAUUUGAUGAAGACACAUUUGAUAUGGUUUUUAAAUUGCUACAGGGAUAUCUGAUGCUUGGUAGUGUCUAAACCCACCAACUACAAUAUAAAAAUAAGUGGAAGAUAGUGUCUGUGCGCUGGUGUUAUAUGAUGCCAUUAUUUCAGUGGUGGAGAAUUGCCCGGUUGUGAGCAUUAGAAUGAGUAACUAAUUAUAGGUACUUGUUAUCAACUCUCAAACACCAUUUAGAGACUUAUCUCUGGCAGAAAUGGCUGAUUGGAACUGAAUGCAUGUGGAUUAACACGAGUGGUAUAGGAAUGUUGUCUGAGACAGAUGAUUAGUAGAAAGUUUUCAACAUCCUUGAUUUGAGGUAGAAGAGGAAUUUGGACUUGGAGAGGGCAGAUUAAGACUACUUUUCUUGUAUUUUUCUGCAAACAGUACGUGAUACUGCCUCGAAAGACAAUGUUUUUGGUGCAGAAAAGGCUCUUUUGCCUUCUCUCAUGUAACAAGUCCACCAUCCAUGUUUCCUCCUAUCAACUCUGCAGUCUGUUUAGAUUUUCCACUGCCGAAGAGCACAGUUCAAAUCAUGGAUCAAAC